rnacentral:sRNA from 1 species
GCUUCCUGUCCAUACAGAUCAUUAUUACGUCUGUCUAUCGAUAUAUCACGUUUUCACCAACUGAAAGGCAAAGCUUCUUCGCAAUAAUGGCGUCUAUGCAGAUCAUCAUGUCACCCCCUGAGUCUUCGGUGUAUCUGCCCAUGAUAAAAGAAAAACACCUUGGAAGAAAAUAACACACUAUUCGUAUUUUGUAUGAUAGUGGAGUAAAGAAUAAUAAAGCAGGGAAAACAAA